rnacentral:rRNA from 1 species
GUGAGGAAUAUUGGACAAUGGGCGCAAGCCUGAUCCAGCCAUGCCGCGUGCAGGAAGACGCAUCUAUGGUGUGUAAACUGCUUUUGUACGGGAAGAACCACUCCCUCGUGAGGGAGCUUGACGGUACCGUAAGAAUAAGGAUCGGCUAACUCCGUGCCAGCAGCCGCGGUAAUACGGAGGAUCCAAGCGUUAUCCGGAAUCAUUGGGUUUAAAGGGUCCGUAGGCGGUUUAAUAAGUCAGUGGUGAAAGCCCAUCGCUCAACGAUGGAACGGCCAUUGAUACUGUUAGACUUGAAUUACAAGGAAGUAACUAGAAUAUGUAGUGUAGCGGUGAAAUGCUUAGAUAUUACAUGGAAUACCAAUUGCGAAGGCAGGUUACUACUUGUGGAUUGACGCUGAUGGACGAAAGCGUGGGGAGCGAACAGGAUUAGAAACCCUGGUAGUCC